rnacentral:rRNA from 1 species
CCUACGGGAGGCUGCAGUGAGGAAUAUUGGUCAAUGGGCGGAAGCCUGAACCAGCCAAGUCGCGUGAGGGACUAAGGCCCUACAGUUCGUAAACCUCUUUUGCCGGGGAGCAGUGCCCAGCUCGCGAGCUUGGAGGGAGCGUACCCGGAGAAAAAGCAUCGGCUAACGCCGUACCAGCAGCCGCGGUAAUACGCGGGAUGCCAGCGUUAUCCGGAUUUAUUGGGGUAAGGGGGUGCGUAGGCGGGCUUUCAGGCCGGCGGUAAAAUUGCGGGGCUAAACCCCGCCGAGCCGUCGGAACCGGGGGUAUUGAGUACCGGAGAAGUACGCGGAAUGCGGGGUGUAGCGGUGAAAUGCAUAGAUAGAACGAAGAA